GGGAAAAAGGGGCCAGAGAGAGGGAGAAUGAGUAGGGGGCAAUGGUUGUCCGGAAACAUUGGGCGGAAAGCGUGAGUAGGAGCCGCGGUAAGUGCGGGGUGAAAGUCAAAGGCUCAACGUGUGGAAGCCGGUGGAUACUGCAGGGCUAGAGUCCGGAAGAGGGGAGUGGAAUUCCUGGUGUAGCGGUGGAAUGCGCAGAUAUCAGGAGGAACACCAAGAGCGAAGGCAGCUCGCUGGGACGGUACUGACGCUAAGGCGCGAAAGCGUGGGGAGCGAACAGGAUUAGAUACCCUAGUAGUC
rnacentral:rRNA from 1 species